rnacentral:rRNA from 1 species
AGUGAACGCUGGCGGCAGGCCUAACACAUGCAAGUCGAGCGGCAGCGGGUCCUUCGGGAUGCCGGCGAGCGGCGGACGGGUGAGGAAUGCAUCGGAAUCUACCCUGUUGUGGGGGGUAACGUAGGGAAACUUACGCUAAUACCGCAUACGACCUACGGGUGAAAGUGGGGGACCUUCGGGCCUCACGCGAUUGGAUGAGCCGAUGCCGGAUUAGCUAGUUGGUAGGGUAAAGGCCUACCAAGGCGACGAUCCGUAGCUGGUCUGAGAGGAUGAUCAGCCACACUGGAACUGAGACACGGUCCAGACUCCUACGGGAGGCAGCAGUGGGGAAUAUUGGACAAUGGGCGCAGCCUGAUCCAGCCAUGCCGCGUGUGUGAAGAAGGCCUUCGGGUUGUAAAGCACUUUUGUUGGGGAAGAAACCGACCGGAUUAAUACUUCGGUUGAAUGACGGUACCCAAAGAAUAAGCACCGGCUAACUUCGUGCCAGCAGCCGCGGUAAUACGAAGGGUGCAAGCGUUACUCGGAAUUACUGGGCGUAAAGCGUGCGUAGGCGGUUAGUUAAGUCUGCUGUGAAAGCCCUGGGCUCAACCUGGGAACUGCAGUGGAUACUGGCUAGC